ACACGUCUCAAAGCUCACGGUGGGUCGGAGAAGAGUGUCUGCGCCCCGGCGAGGCUGCAGCGUUCAAAUUUCCCAGCUGAGCCAGACCUUGGGAGGCUAUGGGGUUGUUCAGCUAAAGUACCAAACUUGUGCAGGUGAAGGGAUGGGGCAGCCUCAGCGCCGUCCACAAAGAGGAAAAUGGAACCAGACUCUAUUACCUACGGUGAGGUCAUUUUUAAGUGUGUCUGGAAACAAUGUCACAGUUCCAUGAGUGGCCUCGCAGCCUUUGCCAACCCCUGACGCGGGGAGGACCCCAGACCCUCCUGUCCCCGUCUGCCCUGGCCUGGGCACGUCUCUUGCUAUGGGCAAGGGUGUCCCUCCAUCUGGAAACUGACUCCGGAAUUCCUUGGGCUCACCUGUGUCCCUGCGUUUAGAAGGAGCUGCAGGAAGACGCCACUGUCCCUGUGGGGCCAGGAACAAGUUUUAUUAAAAAGCAAACGCCCCUGCGGGAGAACAGAUCCCGCCCAGACGUGGUACCUGGUUCUGCUCAGCCUUCUGACGCCCCGCCCUGCUGUCACUCAGAGGAGCGGGGGGCGGGUCCUUGCGAACUGUCCAAUCAGGGGAGCAGCAGGGGCAGGUGGGUGGGGCCACGCUCCGCAAAACAUGCGGACGCUCGUGGCCGCGCUCCGACGGUGUCUCGCCUGCGCUUGGGGCUCAGGUGUCUGUGCUGCCGCGUCGGUCCCUUGGGACCAGCCGUGGCCGCCGGAGGAGUGGGGGCGACGCUGGCGGACCCAGAACCCGGGAAACGCUCUUCCCAGGACCGACAAUAAAUCCCUAAAUUUCGAGAUUCCUCCCCGCAUUCCCAAAGCCAGCUUCCCCUCUCCCAUUCACAGCAUCAUUAUCGCCUGUUCGUCCUCCCUGGUGCAUUUCCAACAGACCCAAUAUUUUAACUGUUUAUCGUUAUCCCCCAGAGCCAUGGAUGGCUCUUUUUUAAAGAUUCUAUUUGUCUGUGGAUGUUUUACACGAGAGGAAAGCAGAGAAUAA
rnacentral:lncRNA from 1 species